GCCGAAUCCCAAAACGAAAGUGAGGGAGAUGUGGUUGGCAGUCUAUCGUCUAAGUUAUGGAAGGUGAAGUUGCCUGGAAUGGCACAGCCAGAGAGGGUGAAAGUCCCGUAACCGUACAUAAUAUGACCACGUGACUGUCAAAGAGUAGCAUGCGUUGGAAAUCGCGUGUGAAUGUGGGAGGCAAAUACUUCCAAUCCUAAAUACAGCUCGAGACCGAUAGUUUACAAGUAACGUGAGUGAAAGCUGAAAAGUAUCCUUAGCGGGAUGUGAAAAGAACGUGAAACCAGUUGGGUACAGGCUGAUAGGGCGUGAAAGCGAAGAUAUGAGCAGCGUCCUAUCGUGCGUUUAGAAAAAUGCCCCAGGGAGUUUUGAUCAAUGGCGAGGUUAAGGGGUUGAUCCCCGAAGCCGGAGGGAAACCGACAAGUCCGCAGCCUUAGGGUGAGGGACGAAGUGUGCUCGCUUGGAGUCAAUGGUGGAGGACCUGAAGCCCGACGAUCUAUGCCUGGCCAGAUUGAAGCCCGUUGAAAGAUGGGUGGAGGAUCGAACCGUUGCUGAUCUGCAAAUCGCUCGGACGAGCUGGGUAUAGGGGUGAAAGUCCAAUCGAGUUGGGCAAUAGCAGGUUCCGCGUGAAAGUACUCGUAGGUACACGUUAGUGGAGAUUGAUUACGCUGUAGAGCACUGAUUGUGCGUUUAGGGGGAGCGAUUCCUCGGCGUGCUGCCAAACUCCGAAGGUGUAAUCGUUGUAGAUACUAGCAGUGAGUGAUGGUGGGUAAGCUACCAUUACGUAAGGUGAACAAACCAGCCUGAAGUUAAGGUCCCUAAAUAUCAAUUAAGUGUCACAGACAAACCGUGUCCGUGGUCGAAAACAACCAGAAGGUGGGCUUAGAAGCAGCCAUCCUUGAAAGAGUUCGUAACAGAUCACUAGUCUAGCUUGCGGGCCGGGAAAAGGGACGGGGCUAAAAUUGAUUACCGAUACUUCAGACCAUCGAAAGAUGAUGUGGUAACGCGGCGUUGUGUUUGGAUAGAAGGUGGGCUUUAAGGUCCGCUGGACCGAAUACAAAUGAGAGUCUUGGGAAGAGUAGCAGCACAGUGUGGUGAGAAUCCGCACCGCCUUAUAAACCAGGGUUCCUCGGCACUGUUCAUCAGCCGAGGGUUAGCCGGUCCUAAGGUCAUUCUUAACCGAAAUGAUCGAAAGGGAAUUGCGUUAAUAUUCGUAAGCCCCUCUUACAUUAAUGGUGACGGCUUGGGCUAGUUUAUGCGCAUCUGUCAUGGUGCGUCGAAGCGUUCAAUAAUCGAAUGGAGAACCGUAAUGGUGAGAAGUUUGAGAAGACGUGAGCAAAAGAUAGAUGAGGCCUAGGUCCCAUGAAAAACCGUAAGAGGUGAUCGUACCAAGAUCUGACACAGGUACCCAAGGUGAGAAGCCUAAGGUGUGACGGGCAAAGUAUCGUGAAGGAACUCGGCAAAAUCGCUCUGUAACUUCGGGAGAAGGAGUGCCAGGUUCGAGAGAACCUGGUCGCAGUAACAAGGGGACUCCGACUGUUUAAUAAAAACAUAGGCGACUGCUAGAUCGAAAGAUCGUGUAUAGUCGCUGAAUCCUGCUCAGUGCCGGUAUCUGAAAUCGGGUUUCAACCUGACGAAGGACCAGUAAACAGCGGGGGUAACUAUGACCCUCUUAAGGUAGCGUAAUACCUUGUCGCUUAAUUGGCGACUUGCAUGAAUGGUCCAACGAGGGCUCCACUGUCCCCGCGAUAAGUCCGGCGAAAUUGACUUUACUGGCGCACAGUCCAGUACAUUCUACCCGCAAGCGAAGACCCCAUAGAGCUUUACUGCAGCCUGUCGUUGCAUUGUCGCUUUCCAUGUACUGUGUAGGUGGGAGACGUUGAUCCCUGAGACGCUAGUCUCGGGGUUAGUCGAAACAAGAGACACCACCCUUGGAAGGUAACAAUGCUAACUCUUUAUGAGAACACCGAUUGGUGGGCAGUUUGGGUGGGGCGCCACGCGCUCGAAAACCUAACAAGCGUGCCCAAUGGUCAGCUUAAGUGGUUCAGCACUCCACUGUUAACUGUAAGGGGAAAAGCUGGCUUGACGUGGAUCGGCACAAUAACGAUCGACGAUGCGAAAGCAGGGCCUAACGAACCUACCAGCCUCAUUUCUGGGGGCGGUAGAU
rnacentral:rRNA from 1 species